AAUAAAGUGCCUGAAUAAAGGCUUAUUUUGAUAGAAUAAAUCAUGUAAAUUUAAAUUUACCUUUAUUA
rnacentral:tRNA from 1 species